rnacentral:rRNA from 1 species
AACGAACGCUGGCGGCAGGCCUAACACAUGCAAGUCGAGCGCCCCGCAAGGGGAGCGGCGGACGGGUGUGUAACGCGUGGGAACGUACCUUUUGCUUCGGAAUAGCCUCGGGAAACUGGGAGUAAUACCGAAUGUGCCCUACGGGGGAAAGAUUUAUCGGCAAAAGAUCGGCCCGCGUUGGAUUAGGUAGUUGGUGGGGUAAUGGCCUACCAAGCCGACGAUCCAUAGCUGGUUUGAGAGGAUGAUCAGCCACACUGGGACUGAGACACGGCCCAGACUCCUACGGGAGGCAGCAGUGGGGAAUCUUAGACAAUGGGCGCAAGCCUGAUCUAGCCAUGCCGCGUGAGCGAUGAAGGCCUUAGGGUUGUAAAGCUCUUUCGUGGGGGAGGAUAAUGACUGUACCCCAAGAAGAAGCCCCGGCUAACUCCGUGCCAGCCGCCGCAGUAACAC